UACGUAGGUGGCAAGCGUUGUCCGGAAUUAUUGGGCGUAAAGAGCUCGUAGGCGGCCUGUCGCGUCGACUGUGAAAACUCACGGCUCAACCGUGGGACUGCAGUCGAUACGGGCAGGCUAGAGUUCGGUAGGGGAGACUGGAAUUCCUGGUGUAGCGGUGAAAUGCGCAGAUAUCAGGAGGAACACCGGUGGCGAAGGCGGGUCUCUGGGCCGAUACUGACGCUGAGGAGCGAAAGCGUGGGGAGCGAACAGG
rnacentral:rRNA from 1 species